CCUCAUGCCUCCAACAUUUCAGAAACGUUUUUAAUUUUUUUGAGAAAUCCCCUUUAAGUUAACCCUAGCAGCCACACCUUUUAUUCAUUCCCCUCUUCUCUCUCUCGUUCCCUUCCCUGCCUCCAGUGUAACCCUAACUAACCCAGUAACAUUCUCGCGCAGCCGAGCCUCUUCUCUGUCUUUCUCAAACUCUCUGUCUCUCUUGGUCUUGAAUCCCAGGCGACCCGCGACGGCGUGACCCUUCUCACUCUCAAUCUCUCACAGUGAAGCAGCUUCUGGUGGAGAAGCUGGCAGCGAGACGGAAACUGAAGUUCAAGAUAUACCUCCUCUGCAAAUUGUAAUGCUUAUCGUCGGCACACGAGGAGAUGUGCAGCCGUUUGUUGCCAUUGGAAAGCGAUUGCAGGAAUAUGGCCAUAGGGUUAGGCUAGCAACUCAUGCAAAUUUCAAAGAUUUUGUCCUUACUGCUGGGUUGGAGUUCUAUCCUUUAGGUGGAGAUCCAAAGGUUCUUGCUGGUUAUAUGGUCAAGAAUAAAGGUUUUUUGCCAUCAGGACCUUCGGAAAUUCGCCGUGUGCUUCGGCGACCUCGAACAAGUGAAGGCGAUGAUCCUGAUCCAAGUGGAGCUCACCAACAUGGACCUCAAAUCCAUCUCCUCCAGGUCCUUGCCCGACCCGCAUACCCUCCGAAAGUCCUCUCACCUCCUCGGCCCCAAAGUCCUCCAGGUAUUGACUCCUCUCCGUAAUUUCUCUCGUGAAUUUUAUGGUGGGUGCUGAAAUGGAUUGCUGUGAUUCAACUGAUGAUGGAAGGAGGUUUUAUGUGGAAUUAAAGACAAGCCAUGAGUUGGACAACCAUAAGAUAGAGUACGAGUUUGAGAAAGAAAAGCUCCUCAAAUUUUGGGUACAUUACUGUUUUAAAGACAAGCCAUGAGAUAAAAGCUUAAGUUGGUGGAUAUGAAAAUAGUUCAAUUGGUGGAAGAUUGUUCAAGGACUCUCUAUUGACGAGUUCUCGAGGAAGAAGUUGGAUGCAACUGCAGAGGAGCUCAGUGAGGAGAAAGCUUUGGCAUACUCUUGCCUCUCUUAGAUGCUCUUGGCCUUUCCUUGGUGUGGUUGUAAGUUGGCCUCCCUGCAAUGUGUGAGAAAAGCAGCUGAAGUUUUGAAUAAUGCCAUUGUUAAGAUAGAUAUGUUAAUGAUGCAGAAGCUGCUUCUGUGGGUUUUACAGUUGUUGAGCCCAAUAUUCUAUUCGGACACUUCGAAUUUUUUCUUCUUUUAGUUGCAUAUUUGAAUGGGAUUGUCCCAUUGACGUAAAAUAAUCCAUAUCUGCCUUGAUUCUAAUUUGUUAGUUCUUGUGCUUA